CCUGGUAUCUAUGAUGAGUUUAUUUACAACCACUGGGUCGAUGCCACUGCUUGUGGAGAUUUAUUUUCCCGAGGGUGGAGGAUUUUCUCGUGGGUUUGAACCCACUCCUACUAAAAAAUAUUUUCUCGUGGGUUUGAACCCAAACCCACUAAAAAAUAUUUUCUCGUGGGUUUGAACCCACCCCUACUAAAAAAUAUUUUCU
rnacentral:lncRNA from 1 species